CUCUAGUCAGAUCAGUAUCUGGUAUUCGUCCGUCCUUUUCGUGUUCCAAUUUAAAUAAUCCUAACUCCUUCUAAUAAUAUUAAUUUAGAAAGUAGAUGAGAAUUUUAAAUAGUAAAAAAAGAAUUUACACCAAUUGAAUAGACAAAAAUCAACCAGGAAAUUUUAAAUUUUAAUAAUUAUUGAAUUAUUCAAAUAACCAUGAUUCAUUCCACGCCGCUUGGCAAUAUGUUUUAUAAACAGCAGGAAUCUGAAAGAAUAAUUAAAACGAAAGCAAUAUCAAUUAAAGAAAAUAAGAAAGAGACCUAAUUGGAUGCACACUGGGCUGGGAAAAUUGGAAAUAUUCUUAUUAUUAUCUUCGACGUUUGCUUUAGAUUGUCUUUCUUUCUCAAAUUGGUUAUUGUACAUUCUAUUCUCGUCUGCACAUUUUGAACUAAUGGUGGUUCUAACUUCAGCCAACGUACAUUUGCAUUGUAUGAUCUAACAUGUCAUUGGCCUAUUUUUAUACCUAUGAAAGCUAGGCUCGGUAAAUAAGAAAGGGAAUGACGAGCUACACGUCAGGACAAUAGAACCGGAGAUAGA